rnacentral:rRNA from 1 species
UACGUAGGGGGCGAGCGUUGUCCGAAGUUAUUGGGCGUAAAGAGCUCGUAGGCGGCCAGUUGCGUCCGCUGUGAAAUCCCAGGGCUUAACCCUGGGCGUGCAGUGGAUACGGGCUGGCUGGAGGCAGGCAGGGGAGAACGGAAUUCCCGGUGUAGCGGUGAAAUGCGCAGAUAUCGGGAGGAACACCGGUGGCGAAGGCGGUUCUCUGGGCCUGUACUGACGCUGAGGUGCGAAAGCGUGGGGAGCAAACAGG